UUUUUUUUUUUUUUUUUUUUUUUUGGCAUUUUUCUUUUCCUAAUUACUGUAGUUGGGAUGCCUAGGAAAUUCGGGCCCUCUUUCCCAACAUUGCCUGUUGAAUGGGCUGUUUGUAAGUCUGUUUUUACCAGUGACCGUACACUACAGAGAGGCAUAGCCUCUGUAUUUUUUACAUUAACUUAGAAGGAAACAAAUUUAGAUUUUUUUUUUUUAAGCCAAUGUAUUCUGUUGCUCAUACAGUGCCUCCUGUGCAAUAAUCUCUCUGAUGUGUUUUCCCUUGAUGUGUGAUUCCCCCACUAUUCCUCAUUUAGGCUUAGUGCAUUAUUUGUGAGAGCAGGAGCUGCUGCCUCACUGUAGUGUUGAUAUGACAUUACAGAAAUGAUGUAGCAGUUGCUGUUCAUUUUUAAUCCCUGAAUUUCAUGAAUGUAUAACCUGCUUUAUUUCACUUUCAGUUGAGAUUUUUAUCUACGGGUUAUCAGCCAAAUUGUGUCAAAAAAAAAAAGAACCGUAAAUUGGUUUUAAAAGCAAUGUGGGGAGUGGGGGUUGUUUUGACUGCUCUGAAAUUCAGUUUGUUUCAGGUUACAGCACAGGAAGUGCACAUAAGUUAUUAACUAAGAAGACAAGCCCCACUGACAUUGAAAGUUCAAAUUUUGCAAUUAAUCUGAAAGCAGAAACUGAGAGGAGUGCUGAAAUCUGGCUACUGAAUGUGUCUUUCAAACCAGGUAUUAAAAGAUCUGUUGCAAAGUUUUGUUUCUGAUCAUAGGAAAAAAUUCAUCUCUUGAUCAAAAGAUUGGGCCAAUAUGUGCAGUUGUUUCCCUCUCUUUAUUUUCAAGGCAUUACAGACUCAGCAUAAGGUUCUUGCCAGUGUUCUCUAUUUUUAUUUUGGCAUCUGCCUGGCUCCAGAAGAGCGCCUCUAAUAGUAGGAGUGUUUUUGUACCAAUUGCACCAACUGAAGUGGGAGAUGAAAGGAAUGAUGAUGGCUUUUAAGUUUCAUACUGUCACUUUCAAAAUACUUAGUGUUAAAAAUAGGAAAAGCAAGGUAAGGCAGGUAAACUUAUAUUAUUUAACCCUGCUAGUUCCUUUUUAAUAUUUGAUAACCCUGGGCUGCAGCUCCCUGAGAAUGAACUUUAUCACUGCUAAUGGAUGCACCGGAACCAUGGCAAGCAAGGAGGAUUAUCUGUCCCUAUUGUGCCUGGCAUUGCAUCAGGUUUCCAGACAAUGAGGGAUUUUGGAGAUUCAUGGCUCAGAGGGUUGGCAAUGGGCUGUUGAACCUUUUUAUCUCCAGCUUAUACCGGUUCAAGUCCAGCUGCUGGAGCAGGGACCAGAAGUUCACAUCUUGGCAGUGUGAGUGAGCAAGUCCAUCCUAACACCUUGCACUGGGUUGUAGAGCUUGUAGUGCUUCCUCCUGGUUGUAUCUGUGCAGUAGGGAUGGGCUGUGAACUUGAGUGCUUGGCUCAAAUCUCUGGGCCCCUGUGGAGGGAAGAUCAGCCAUUCCAAUCUUUGAGCUCUCCAGUGCUGAGGCAGGGGAGACUGGCAGGUUUGAACACAAAUCUUCCAUUUUCUGACAUGAAAUCAGGAACUUAAAACUGUUUUCUUUACAAAAAAACAAAACAAAACAGAUUUAGUAUUGUUCACUACACUUGUAAGUUGGUCUAAACCAAUGUCCUUCCCCACUGAAUUUUUACAGUAAUAUUUUCUAAGGUAAUCUAGAGUAUAUUUUAGUUGCAAUCUAUAUUAAGACAAAUUAUUUGUUCUGUCUGUUGCUGUGACUGAAGAAAAUUAUGAAAGACUUUGUUGGUAACAAGAAUGCUAUUUAAUGAAGAAAUGUGUAAUUCCAUUAUUUAUUGUUUGAGGUUUGUUUUUUGGUUAUUUCUUUUAAGUAACUGACAUCUAAAAGGGAACACACAUAUGUUUCAGGCCAGUAAAAAGCCUUUCUUUUAAAUUAAUUUUCAUCCUCUCCUCUCCCCAGGGUGGAAGGAAGCCCUCACCCUUUUUUGCAAUGCUAAGCCAUCUCUUGUAGCUGGUUUCUCACUUUAAUUCUUGCAAAGCACUUCAGUACAUGUGAGUCUGAACCUACUGAUAGUCCUGUGCACUAUCUCUGGUUAUCCAUGUACUCAAGUGCAGAUAAAGUAGGAUUAUUCAUUGGUAAUCCUACCCAAAUUUCAAUGAGGGGGAAUUUGGUCUUUUUUUUUUUUUAAUUAUUAUUAUUUUCAAUAUUGUGCACAAAUACCUUGAAGAACAAACUGACCUUUGUUUUUCAUUUGGAGUAGAAUGUGGAAGGAGAAGUGCAUAAUAGGGACUUGUGAUGUAGCCUCGUUCCAUUACCUUUAAAUUCACGGUUGAACACUUUUAAUAAACCUUAAAAAAUUGGCAAACACACCAAAGAAUCAAUAUGAGUAAAAGACUCUGAUCAUUAACAAACUGCAAACCUCAUCCUUUAAAACAAAGCAGAAAGUUUUUUGUAAAUAUUUAUGUUUAUAAAUGUACAGCAGAGUAAGAGUGUUUUUUAGAUUAUUUAAUUACCAUAUUUCUAAACUAUUUACAUUAUAGACAAUACUUGUUAGUUUGAAGAGCUGAGUGGGUUUGUUUUGUUUUGGGUUUGUUUUCUUUUCUUUUUUUUUUUUUUAAAUUCACUAUCACUCAUGCUUGGAAUAACUCUGGCUUCCUUGGGAUAGCGUGGAAAAUUUGGUUUUCUGGCUCUGGUUGGCAAUCAUAGGAGAACACAUCUGGACAAACUCUUCAGGUAAAUACCCAGAGGCAAAAGAAAAGAUAUGGCAUCUUUACCAGGAUGGGCUGGUUUGGAGGAAAAAACCUGCCCACAAGUGCAGCUUCCAUACAAUGCUGUGUUACCAAUACCAUCAUGUAUUUUGUUCUUCCUUUGCAAUGUAAGUUUUUGCUUUGGGUCAAUUUGAAUUUAAAAAAAAAAAAGAAAAAAAAGAAAAAGAAAAAAGUUAAACCUGGCUAAAACCUAUUUUUGGUUUAUGUUCUGUUUAUUUCUAAUGUAAUGUUUUAAUAACAUAAUACCACUUUACACAUUUUCUCUCCAUGUUUGUCUGUCUCUUCUACUGCUGUUCCCUUUUCUGGGGUUCAUGAUUCUGUAACGCAUUUGGGACUCAAAAUACCCCCACAAAUGAGAGUUCAGAUGUCUCAUGAGUUGUAAUGUGAUUUUUUUUACCACUGAUUAUGGACAGAACCCUUACAGAAUAGUUUGGGGUGGAAGGAACCAUUAAACUCAUCCAGUCCCACCCCUGUGGGGACACCUUCUACUGUCCCAGGGUGCUCAAUGCCCCACCCAGCCUGGUCUUGGGCACUUCCAGGGAUCCAGGGCAGCCACAGCUGCUCUGGGCACCUGUGCCAGGGCCUGCCCACCCUCCCAGUAAAACAAAACUCACUCUAGAGCUGGGCUUUGGAAGGGGGAACAAACUGGUCCUAAACUGUGAGUGGUUGGGUUUUCCUUGCUCAGAUUCCAGCACUGCCACUUCAGGGUUUUCUGACAGGUUCACCUUUCUUCCUCAUGCUCAUGCACUGACCAAGAUACAAAAAUGACCAAACAGAGGCUGCAUUUUAGGGUGAAUUUACUACUAAUAAAAAAGGGGGGUGUAUAUGAAUAUUCCUGACACAUAAAUAGAAACUGGAACGUUUGGGUUCAGUCAUGAGAAAAAUGUACAACCAAAAUUUGCAGUAAGGUUUUGGAUUCUAAAAAUUUGGAGAGGAAAGAGACUAGAUUUUAAGACAUUACUGCUAAGGAGUAAUAGAGGAAAAAAAAUCUAUUUCCAUUGCUCAGUAACAAACUUCACAAACAUCACUGAGAGAGCAUUCACCGUUCAACCAGCAGUUUAGAGCUGCUGCUGAUGGUUUCUACCAGACUGGCCAGGCUUUGGCUGGGCUAUACUGAAUGCUGUGCUAAAGACUUUGUUCCUGUUUAUGUAUCAUAUUUCCUGUUUGAGUGUUCACUUGUGAAGUUUAAAACAAUUAAUAGCUAAUGUUACUACUUGGAAAAACCUGAUUUACAAGCUGUUGACAAAUGAUGUGUUUAGAAUAUACAGUCUUUAUAUAUAUUGGCAGAAGUGGGUGAUAGAAAAGUGUACUUACUUUAUAUGGCAAAACAUGGGGUUUUUUUACCAUAGUGAAAAACAAAAAAUUAAAACCUUUGAAAGAAAAAAUAUCAGAGCACAAAACAGGCUCUGCUAUGUCUUUUCCCAGAGUGGAAACAGGCUGGAGUGAAGCAUUUAAAAUCUCUGCUCAAGUCUCUCCCCUCUGCUUUGGUUGGGGCUACCUUUACCUCAAAGGUUUUAUCCUGUUCUUGGAAAUUGGAAUAGACUAAAGUUUGCUUUUUCCUUUAUCACUGCCACACUGAGUCUCUGCUGCUCCUUGACUUACCAGCCAAAGUAAAGCCCAGCAUGUGAUUUAAUCCCAGGGCAAUAAGAAACAAAGCAGGUAUAUGCACUGCUUUAUGAAACCAUGCUACCAGGAGUUCUUCGGCCGGUGCAUUCCCCAGGGAACCACAACGUGCAGCUGGAACAGCAAAAUCUGGGCUCCAAAGCUGUGCUGACUUUUAUUGGGAAGUCUCCGGCUGUCUGGUGAAGAAGUCAGAGCUCCAGCUGUUUCCUCCACAUCUGGGCUCUCUAGUGCUGCUAGCUGCUGUUUGUGAGGUCCCAGGUAAGUUCUGAAUGUUGUCAUGUUUGCAAGAAGGAUGUUUGACCAUCUCCAGAGAAUCUUGUAAAGGCUCUGGAAGCAUUUCUGAACCUUCUUCAGACUUGCAGGUUUCUCACGUGGUAGAGUUGGUGUACACUUAAAACAAGUGGGUUUGAGAGUGGUGGGUGCUACAGGGUCAGAAUUUCCCUCACUUUUAAUUUUAUCUGCUGCAAUUAUUUUACAGACCCCUCAGCAUCCAUUACAUAGUCCUAAAAGGAGUGAGAAAGCUGAAUGAAAAGAAGCUUAUAGGCAGGUUAUACAAGAGUAAAUACUAAAAUUUAGUAAUGUAGGUCUGUAAGUAACUGAUCUACAGCAAAAUCAUCUAUUCUUUCUUAAAGACCACAAAAUUUUCCAGAACAAAAACUCUUCUAUUCUGACUUGCAAAAAUAGAGUUUAUUUGCAGUCUUAAUAGACUCCAAAUAGAUCAUCUCCUGUUCUGUCAUGAGCAACUGGAAGUUAAUGGAUGUGUUCUACUAAAUUCUGUCCUCAUUUCUGACUUGGACCAUUGUAACUCUACCGAAGGUGGUGGUUAUUCAACAUUUAAUCUGGUGUGAAAUAGCAAAUAAUUGCUUUGGAUGAUCAGCUUGCAGUCCUGCUCCUUGUUUUAUGGUCUAAUGAGGAGAGUAUUUUUGGAAGGUAUUUGUGAAACACUUUGAGAAGGAGCACUGGGAGGCAUUCUGUAGUUCAAGCCAACUUUAUAAGCAACCAGCAGACAAUUUUAUUUUUCUCCUGAAAACACUGCCUGUUUUGCUAGAGUUACUUACUUAAACUCUGAUAUCUCAUCAUGAGAUGGUGAGAUAUUUCAAUUUGAUGUUCCAUUUCAAAUCUUGAGAAACAGCAGAUUGAAGUAGAUCUGCAAUGAAAUGUAAACUCAUUUUAUUUUAAAGAAUUAAUUUUUAAACCAUUAGAGAUUAAAUUUUAUAUACAUUUAGCAUAACAGCAGGUUCUUACAUUCUUUGCUGAGUGUGUGACUGCUUGCAGUCUGUGUUCACAGUGUGCUUAAAAUACAAGGUGGUGAGUUUGAACAGCAUCUCUGGAUGCUCUGGGUCUGGAACUGUCAGAUCUGUCCUUGACAAGUCAAAGGUGAUACUGGAAAAUGUUAUUUUCUAUGUCUUGUCCACCUACAAGCCAGUAUAAGUGGGAUUUUUAGUUUCUCAUCUGUUCCUACCUGACUAUAGUAUUUGCAUGGAGUAGUAGAAAUUUAGAUUCAGCUUCAUGUAAUGCUUGAUUUUCAAACCUCAGAGUACCCAACUGCAGGAUGUGGGUUACUGAGAAUGACUUCCAAGGUGUGUCUGUCUGAAACAGCCCAACUUGAGAUCCAUCCCCUGGUUCUCUUGGAUAUUGCUCAUCUCUGUUAGGAAGCAAAACAAAAUAAUUUUUAGAGAGCAGUCAGUCUGAAAAUAAAGUGCCCAGGAUGUUUGGUAAGAGGAUGAAGUUUAGAUGUGUGUGGGAUUGUGUGAGGGAGAGAGCAGAAAAUGUGCCUUUUGAUCUUAAGAAAUGUUUGGUAUGUGGGUUGUUGGGCUUAGAAGUUUGAACGUCCUUAAUAUAAAAUAAUCUGUGUGAGUAUUUGCGUCUGUUCCUUUUCAACUUUGUGUGAGUUAUUUAAUGUUUAGUGAGCCAGAAAAAAAAAAAAUCACUGUUUUCUGAUGGUUCAGGCACCCUCCUGAUGAGUGGAAGACUUGAAUUAAAAGUUCCCACUCUGAACCAGGCAAAGUAAUUAAGGAUGGGGAUUUGUACUCACAUUCCCACCUUUUAGUGCUGUGAUUACAGGUUUGUUAAAAUAGUGCCAUAGAGAGAGAAAAUACCAAAACUGUUACACAAUCUCCAAAGCUGACCCCGAAAGGUCAUUCAAAGCAGGUUCCCAGCUGGUUGGAGUCCAGUCCUGAUGUCUCCUGCCCUUGUGAACAAAUGACUGAAGCUCAUGGGGCUUUUUUGUCCCUACUUAUCUGUAAUCCACCUGAGAAAAUUAAGCCAAACCUCUUCUGGUUCCCUGAGCACCUUGCCUUGAGCUCCUGUGUGUUUGUGUUUGGGUGCCACACCCGUAGAGGUGCUCAAGGCCAGGCUGGAUGGCUUUGGAGCAGCCUGGGGUAGUGGAAGGUGUUCCUGCCCAUGGCAGGGGCUGGAAUGAGAUGAACUCUGAGGUCCCUGCCAACCCAAACCAGUCUGUGACUCUGUGGGCACCCUCCUCCUUCCAGCUCUUGUCUUUGGUAUCAGUGCUGAUUUUGUCUCCUUCUUCACAACUUGUGUUCCACACCUCACUUGAGGAGGAGGGGGAAUGAGAUAUUCCUUGCUCCAGAGGAGACCAUCCUAGCAGGUGGAUUGAAAGGUGUCUAAGUGAGAAAUUCUAAUGUGGUGUCAGUUUUUGUAAUACUGCUCGGGACUUUGCUGUCUUGGCUAAAGACUCAAUAUUUUUUUCAUAAAACCAAAAUAUCUUACCCUGCGUUUUCAUUGACUUCAAUUCCAGUGUUUCAUUCCAGAUCACUGAUUUAUCUUAUGUUUUUUUAAGACUCUAACACUUAGCAAAGUUCGUUCACAUCACAACCAGUUACUAUUUUAAUGAAUCAAACUGAUUAAGAGCACAAAAAAUGUUACAGUGACAUAUCUGCAUUGUUAGUACUAUAUCCUGUAACUCUGCUUUUAAUUUGUUCGUGUCCAAGUAAAUUAAAUUAAGGGGCUGUUUUAGGAACCUCAUCAGUUGUUUUCAGCCAAUAGUAAAAAACACUUUAAUGAUUCCAAAUAAGAGUUCUUUGAAAGGUGUCCAGGUAGGGCAGUUUCAGUCUUAUCUGAUAAAUAGCUUCAGAUCUUCUGUGCUGCAAAUUGAAUCUUGUGGUUUGUGUUUUCUUCUUCCCGAGCUUGGGUACACUGAUUGUUUUUUUCCUCAAGCCAUUUUGCCAGAAUUUUUUGAAAUUUACCAAAGUUCUUCUUUGCUCAACUUGAAUUGCUUUCAUGAUUCAUUGAUCUUCCUUCAUUCUUGGUUAGAGAAGAACUUUGAAUGAGAACAGACUCCUUCUUUUAAAGGGCAUUUUUAAUGCCCCCUGUGUUUUACCCAGAUGUUCAAUAUUUUAUCCAGUAUUUUGUUAAUAUAUAGUUAUCUUGUCAAUAAAGUGGCUUUUUACCAGAUACAUUGAGCUAUUAGUUAUAUUGGUAUACAGCUGAACUUGCUGGCUUUGAGUAUUUCCUGUGCUUCAUAAAUACUUGUAUAAUCUGUUGUGCAGGCUCAGCUGUUCUUAAUUCUAAUGUGAUUCAUAUUGUGCUUAGAAAUCUGACAUUCUUGGCUUGUCAGAAAUAUUAAUAUAUGUUAGUGCCAUAUCUAUCGAAAAUUGACAUGUUUUGUGCAGGGCCUUAAUUUUCACUUCUUUAUAUUGCAGCAUUCCAUGUUGAGCAAUGCAGCUUUGUUUGCUUUUAAAUUUCCCUCUCACCUUCAGCCCUGAGAAACCAGAAAUAAUUAGAUUAUAUCUUUCUCUUGGCUCGCAUAGUUUUCACUUGUAGUGAAUUAUGCCAUGCAAAACUAUCCCUCCAGUGAGAAUUUGGUUGUCAUUGUUAAGAGCUACAUCUGGACUGUGUAAUACUUUGUGUGUUGCACUACAAAGAGGCUUUGCCUGUGGCUCAGUCACAACUCUACCUCACCAGUGAGUUGGAAUAGCUCUUUCCUCUGGUAAAAGUGCCACAAUUCACCUCCCCAGGCCUUUCUGCUGUGGGUAAGGCUGCUGGACAGACAAAAAUGUUGCUCUAAACCUCCAAAAAACAGGAAUGACCCUAACACUUAACAGCCCAAAGUAUUACAGGAGUGUUGGCCUCCAUGUGGACAAGUCCUGUUUCUUCAGUGGGUGAUGGAAGUUCAGACUUCCACCUACUUGAGCCAAAUACUUUAUCCUGGUAGCUGGAUGAAAGUUCAGCUUCAAGAAAGAAGUUUGAAUGCACCUUUAAGGUCUGUAUGACAGUGAAUGAAAAGCCUUUUCUCUCCAGCCCCUUCUGUGUUUAAUUACCCAACCGCAGAGGAGCUGAAGCUUUUGUUUCCAGGUUGAGUCCUGAUUUCAGCUGAGAAGUAAUGAAUGUUGCUGUCUCUCUGUACAGUCUUUCAUCUUGCUGAUGAUAUCAUUUUCUUGUAUAAUCGUGGGGGUAGUAAAUGAUUCCUAUUCAGACUUCCUCUUUAAAAUCAGACUUGGAGAUUCCUUUGCUCCCCGCUCUGGUUUUGCUGCUGUCACCUCUUAUGCCACACUCUUUACUGGAACAGACCCACCAGGUCUUCCCUGAGGCUUUUUUGAUUCUGAUAAGGCACUCUAGACUCUUCUCUGGAGGAUUCUCUUGGUUGUGAAGUAACAAGCAGUGCCACUUGGUUGCCCAGAGAGGAACACAAAAAAUGUGUGGACUUUGAUUUGGGGUGUUUGUUUGGGUUCUUGUUCCCCCCUUAUCUUCAGGGUCAAGAGACCAUAAAGUGCUCCAAGCAGCAGUGCCCCUGUUGGCAGAAACCUCAGUGGUUGCUCUAAUUGCAUUAAAUUCUUCCUUGCAUCAGAGUCAUGCUUAGAGAUGGUGCUGGAGGAAACUCUCUUGUUGAAACAAAUCUGGACUGAUACUGAAUUGAGGUAGCAGUUAGGUGCUGUCUUUUUCUGUCAUGCAGAGGAAAAUGCAGAGCUUCAAGCCUCAUGUCUCUUAAGAGUUUCCAUCCAUGUCCUCUCUCUUCUCCUUUUCCCAAA
rnacentral:lncRNA from 1 species